GACGAACCGUCCAAACGUUAUUCGGAAUCACUGGGCUUACAGAGUUCGUAGGCGGUCUGGAAAGUUGGGUGUGAAAUCCCUCGGCCUAACCGAGGAACUGCGCUUGAAACUACCAGACUCGAGGGAGAUAGAGGAAAGCGGAGCUGAUGGUGGAGCGGUGAAAUGCGUUGAUAUCAUCAGGAACACCAGUGGCGAAGGCGACCCACUGGGUCAUUUCUGACGCUGAUGUACGAAAGCUAGGGUAGCGAACGGG
rnacentral:rRNA from 1 species